rnacentral:rRNA from 1 species
AGUGAACGCUGGCGGUAGGCCUAACACAUGCAAGUCGAACGGCAGCACAGUAAGAGCUUGCUCUUACGGGUGGCGAGUGGCGGACGGGUGAGGAAUACAUCGGAAUCUACUUUUUCGUGGGGGAUAACGUAGGGAAACUUACGCUAAUACCGCAUACGACCUACGGGUGAAAGCAGGGGAUCUUCGGACCUUGCGCGAUUGAAUGAGCCGAUGUCGGAUUAGCUAGUUGGCGGGGUAAAGGCCCACCAAGGCGACGAUCCGUAGCUGGUCUGAGAGGAUGAUCAGCCACACUGGAACUGAGACACGGUCCAGACUCCUACGGGAGGCAGCAGUGGGGAAUAUUGGACAAUGGGCGCAGGCCUGAUCCAGCCAUACCGCGUGGGUGAAGAAGGCCUUCGGGUUGUAAAGCCCUUUUGUUGGGAAAGAAAAGCAGCAGGUUAAUACCCCGCUGUCCUGACGGUACCCAAAGAAUAAGCACCGGCUAACUUCGUG